CUCGGUUUGUCUGAGUAGUAGAGCGGCAAACGGGUGAGUAACACGUUGGUACCUACCCCUAACUCAGGAAUAAUUCCGCGAAAGCGGGACUAAUUCCGGAUAGUCCUUGAGAGAAAUCGAAAGGUAAAGCUUCGGCGGUUGGGGAAGGGCCUGCGGCCUAUCAGUUAGUUGGCGGGGUAAUAGCCCACCAAGACUAUGACGGGUAGCUGGUCUGAGAGGAUGGUCAGCCACAGUGGGACUGAGACACGGCCCACACUCCUACGGGAGGCAGCAGUGAGGAAUUUUCCGCAAUGGGCGAAAGCCUGACGGAGCGACAUCGCGUGAAGGAUGAAUCUUUUCGGAGCGUAAACUUCUUUUCUGAUGGAACAAGUUCUGAGUUUACAUCAGGAAUAAGCCCCGGCUAACUACGUGCCAGCAGCCGCGGUAAUACGUAGGGGGCGAGCGUUACCCGGAAUCACUGGGCGUAAAGAGUCUGUAGGCGGUUAUUUAAGUCGGAUAUUAAAUUCUUAAGCUCAACUUAAGAGCCGUAUCCGAAACUGAUUAGCUAGAGAGUUGCAGGGGUGAGUGGAAUUCCCGGUGUAGGGGUGAAAUCCGUUGAUAUCGGGAGGAACACCAAAAGUGAAGACAUCUCACUAGGGUAACUCUGACGCUGAGAGACGAAAGCGUGGGUAGCAAACAGGAUUAGAUACCCUGGUAGUCCUCGCCGUAAACGAUGGAUACUAAGUGUUGGGGGAAUCGAUCCCCCCAGUGCUGUAGCUAACGCGUUAAGUAUCCCGCCUGGGAAGUACGAUCGCAAGAUUAAAACUCAAAUGAAUAGACGGGGACCCACACAAGCGGUGGAGCAUGUUGUUUAAUUCGACGACAAGCGAGAAACCUCACCAAGGCUUGACAUCCCGGGAAUCUCCCAGAAAUGGGGGAGUGCCUUUUGGAACCCGGAGACAGGUGCUGCAUGGUUGUCGUCAGCUCGUGCCUUGAGGUGUUCGGUUAAGUCCGCGAACGAGCGCAACCCUCGCCCUGAUUUAUAUAUUUAUCAGGGGACUACCCUCGCAAGAGGGGGGAAGAUGAGGACGACGUCAAAUCAGCAUGGCCCUUAUGCCUUGGGCUACUAACGUGCUACAAUGGGGUGUACAAUGGGCAGCCAACCCGCGAGGGGGAGCAAAUCCCAUCAAAGCAUCUCUCAGUUCGGAUUGAGGUCUGCAACUCGACCUCAUGAAGCCGGAAUCGCUAGUAAUCGUGAAUCAGUACGUCACGGUGAAUAUGUUCUUGGGUCUUGUACUCACCGCCCGUCACGUCAUGGAAGCUUGGGAACACCCGAAGUCUUCUGUAUUGAGGCCUAAGGUGGAAUCAGUGACUGGGACGAAGUCGUAACAAGGUA
rnacentral:rRNA from 1 species